rnacentral:rRNA from 1 species
UACGUAGGGGGCUAGCGUUGUCCGGAAUCAUUGGGCGUAAAGCGCGUGUAGGCGGUUCUGUAAGUCUGCUGUGAAAGUCCAGGGCUCAACCCUGGGAUGCCGGUGGAUACUGCAGGGCUAGAGUACGGAAGAGGCGAGUGGAAUUCCCGGUGUAGCGGUGAAAUGCGCAGAUAUCGGGAGGAACACCUAUUGCGAAGGCAGCUCGCUGGGACGUUACUGACGCUGAGACGCGAAAGCGUGGGGAGCAAACAGG